rnacentral:tRNA from 13 species
GGUUCCAUGGUGCGCUCUGGACUCUGAAUCCAGUGAUCCGAGUUCAAAUCUCGGUGGAACCU